rnacentral:rRNA from 1 species
UGGGCAACCUGCCCGUAAGACCGGGAUAACUUCGGGAAACCGGAGCUAAUACCGGAUAACACCGAAGACCGCAUGGUCUUUGGUUGAAAGACGGCUUUGGCUGUCACUUACGGAUGGGCCCGCGGCGCAUUAGCUAGUUGGUGAGGUAACGGCUCACCAAGGCGACGAUGCGUAGCCGACCUGAGAGGGUGAUCGGCCACACUGGGACUGAGACACGGCCCAGACUCCUACGGGAGGCAGCAGUAGGGAAUCUUCCGCAAUGGACGAAAGUCUGACGGAGCAACGCCGCGUGAGCGAAGAAGGUCUUCGGAUUGUAAAGCUCUGUUGUUGGGGAAGAAUAAGUACCGUUCGAAUAGGGCGGUACCGUGACGGUACCUAACGAGAAAGCCACGGCUAACUACGUGCCAGCAGCCGCGGUAAUACGUAGGUGGCAAGCGUUGUCCGGAAUUAUUGGGCGUAAAGCGCGCGCAGGCGGUCCUUUAAGUCUGAUGUGAAAGCCCACGGCUCAACCGUGGAGGGUCAUUGGAAACUGGGGAACUUAAUCCAUAUGACUAGUAGAUCCUCUAGAGUCGACCUGCAGGCAUGCAAGC